GCGACGAGGACCUGUGCCGCUCGCUCGUUCGCUCUGUGACUGUACGUACAUUACAGAAGCAGAAAUCCAUGGCAGCAGCAGAAGGAUAUCAGAUGGAGGCCGCCGUGCUCGCGGCGCCCGUGGUGAAGGACCGGGAGGUGCUCCGCCUCCGGCGAGACGCGGCCGGCCGUCGAGACGUUACCGGACUCGUGCGGACCAUCGUCGCCGCGGCACCGCCGCCCGACAGUACGACCCGCACCGCGGCGGCGGGCGCGUUCAACGUGAUCGACCUCGGCGAGGUGGCGCGGCUGUUCGCGGCGUGGUGGCGCGGGCUCCGCGGCGUGCGUCCCUACUACGCCGUCAAGUGCAACCCCAACCCGGCGCUGCUCGGCGCGCUCGCGGGGCUCGGCGCCGGCUUCGACUGCGCCAGCCGCGCCGAGAUGGAGGCCGUGCUGGCGCUCGGCGUCGCGGCCGACCGCGUCGUCUACGCGAACCCGUGCAAGCUGGAGCCCCACCUGGAGUACGCGGCCGGCGUCGGCGUCGACCUCACCACCUUCGACUCCGAGGAGGAGGUCGGCAAGAUCAAGCGCUGCCACCCGGGGUGCCGGCUGCUGCUACGGAUCAAGGCCCCCGACGGCGACGAUGGCGGCGGCGCCAUGCUAAACUUGGGAACCAAGUACGGCGCGCACCGGGACGAGGUGGUGCCGCUCCUCGCCGCCGCGCGGCGAGCCGGGAUGGCCGUCGUCGGCGUCUCGUUCCACGUCGGGAGCGCCGUGUCCCGCGUCGGCAUCUACGCCGCCGCCAUCGAGGCGGCCCGCGUUCGACGCCGCCGCCGCGCUCGGCAUGCCGCGCAUGCACGUGCUAGACAUCGGCGGGGGAUUCAAGGCCGGCGGCGGCGGCGGCGAAUCCACGUUCCAGGAGGCAAGCGCCGUGAUCAGCGCGGCCCUCGCGAGGCACUUCGGUGGCGACGACAUGCCCAGCGGCGUCGAGGUGAUAGCCGAGCCGGGGCGCUACUUCGCCGAGACGGCGUUCGCGCUCGCCGCCCGCAUCUUCGGGAAGCGCACGCGCGGCGAGGUGCGCGAGUACUGGAUCGACGACGGCAUGUUCGGCACCCUGUGCUGCGUGCACUUCGAGAACUACGUGCCGCGCCCGGCGCCGGUGACCGCCACCGCCGACGACGGCGACGAGCAGGCGGCGACCAUGGGCGGCGAGAUGAUGAUCACGUCGACGAACACGUCGACGAAGACGCACCCGUCGACGGUGUUCGGCCCCACGCUGGACUCGUUCGACGAGGUGGUGAGGGGUUAUCAGCUGCCGGAGCUGUGCACCGGGGACUGGCUGGUGUUCGACGACGUCGGCGCGUACACCACCGUGUGCAGCUCAGACUUCAACGGGUUCUCCACGUCCAACAUGAAGACCUACCUCGCCUACUCCUGCUAGAUCACUGGGAAAGUGCCACCUAAAUAUCGAAUAUAUUGUUUCGUACAUACCACCCAGGGUCGGAAAUUUCGGUGACCCCCGAUAUAAUAUUAAUUCGGCCGAAAUUUUUGAAUUUUUCAAUUCUUUCAUGAAUUUGGAUAAUGUUUGUUUAAAUUCAACUAAAUUUUGGAUUUC